GUGCCUUUCAUCUCUCACCAUGAUUCCGAGGCCUCCCCAGUCAUGUGGAACUGUAUGAUAGUUCUGAAUGAAUAUUGAAGCUGUUCCGUAGUUCUGAGGGUUAUCAUACCACUGAGAGUAAAAGAUGAAGUAUCACUCUGUCUCCCAGACUGGAGUGCAGUGGCACAAUCUCUGCUCAGCACAAGCUCCACCUCCUGGGUUCAUACCAUUCUCCUGCCUCAGCCUCCCAAGUACCUGAGACUACAGG